rnacentral:rRNA from 1 species
AGUUUCGAAAGGAACGCUAAUACCGCAUACGUCCUACGGGAGAAAGCAGGGGACCUUCGGGCCUUGCGCUAUCAGAUGAGCCUAGGUCGGAUUAGCUAGUUGGUGAGGUAAUGGCUCACCAAGGCGACGAUCCGUAACUGGUCUGAGAGGAUGAUCAGUCACACUGGAACUGAGACACGGUCCAGACUCCUACGGGAGGCAGCAGNG